rnacentral:lncRNA from 1 species
CCUCGAGUCCCUUCCGAUGUCAACCUGGGAUCCCUCUGGCUAGACGGACUUUGUCCAUUUGCUGGGGACUUACUGCACGCCAGGACCCCAGGCUGGAAGUGCAAUGAGCAUCUUCAUGUUACGGAGGUGGACUGAAGAUCAGAGAGGAAAAGACUUGCCCAAGGCCACCCAGCAGCCCCCAGGAUUCUAACUCAUCUGUCCUUGCGGAUUCUGAAGGCUGGGCUUUUAUUUAUGACACCAUCCUGGGCCCCUUAUGCUGGGGUCGUGCUUCAACAGCCAGGAGCUGAAAGAAUUUCUUGAUGUAAGGAAUUCAGAAGAAAGAAGAGUCCUCUAAACUUUGACUCCGUAAGAAAGCCUAGAAGGACUCCCUUCAGCAAGACCUUGGGGGAAAGACACUGAUGAAGGAAGUGCCAAC